CUACGGGAGGCAGCAGUGGGGAAUCUUGCACAAUGGGCGAAAGCCUGAUGCAGCCAUGCCGCGUGAAUGAUGAAGGCCUUAGGGUUGUAAAAUUCUUUCGCUAGGGACGAUAAUAACGGUACCUAGUAAAGAAGCCCCGGCUAACUUCGUGCCAGCAGCCGCGGUAAUACGAAGGGGGCUAGCGUUGUUCGGAAUUACUGGGCGUAAAGCGCGCGUAGGCGGACCAUCAAGUUGGAUGUGAAAUCCCGGGGCUCAACUCCGGAACUGCAUUCAAAACUGUUGGUCUAGAGGCCAGGAGAGGUCAGUGGAAUACCGAGUGUAGAGGUGAAAUUCGUAGAUAUUCGGUGGAACACCAGUGGCGAAGGCGACUGACUGGACUGGUACUGACGCUGAGGUGCGAAAGUGUGGGGAGCAAACAGGAUUAGAUACCCUGGUAGUCCACACCGUAAACGAUGAAUGCUAGUUGUCUGCAUGCAUGCAUGUAGGUGACGCAGCUAACGCAUUAAGCAUUCCGCCUGG
rnacentral:rRNA from 1 species